GGGAAAUUUCAGAACUGGUAUUAAUCAAUGACAUGUUUUCUAAUAGAGAAAUGGAAGUCCCAAAGGAGAUGCACCUUGCCCAAAGACUCAUGGUCUAUUCAGUGACCAGCCUUCUGCAUGUCCAACAAGUGCUCAUAUGGGCUAAGUGCUGGCCCAGGAGGAGUUGAGGUGUGGCAGAAGGAACACAGAAUUGGGGACCAAAAGACUCUGGUUCAUGUUCACUCUAUCAGUCCUUUGCUGGGACCUUGAGCUGAUUAUAGCCUCUCCUUGGGUCUCAAGGAGAGACUUCUCCCACCUGAGAAUUGAAGGUGAUAAGCCCACCUACAUCUUGAGGCUCCUGUGGAAAGGAAUCAGGGACACUGUGCCCAUGUUACAACAAAUAUCAUGGACCCUGGUGGGGAGAGUCUCCCUGAAGACCAUGGCUGGAGUCAGGCUGGCCUGGGACCAAAGCCCAGCUCCUGCAAUGAACAGCUGUGUGACAUAGGACAAGUCACUUCCUUAAUUUGAACCUCAGCUCCUCCUCUAUGAACUGUCACCUCCCUGGAUUGGCUUUCUUUGAUCACCUUCUCCAAAGUGGCUUUCCCUGACCUACAUUCCACCGCCCCUUUAUU
rnacentral:lncRNA from 1 species